rnacentral:rRNA from 1 species
CCUACGGGAGGCAGCAGUGAGGAAUAUUGGUCAAUGGCCGGAAGGCUGAACCAGCCAUGCCGCGUGAAGGUCAGUGCCCUAUGGGCGUUAAACUUCUUUUGUGCGGGAGCAAUAAUGGUCACGUGUGGCCAGACGAGAGUACCGUACGAAUAAGCAUCGGCUAACUCCGUGCCAGCAGCCGCGUUAAUACGGGGGAUGCAAGCGUUAUCCGGAUUUAUUGGGUUUAAAGGGUGCGUAGGCUGUGAGGUAAGUCAGCGGUGAAAUGCCCCCGCUCAACGGGGUGAAGUGCCAUUGAUACUGCCUGGCUGGAAUGCGGAUGCGGUGGGAGGAAUGUGUGGUGUAGCGGUGAAAUGCAUAGAUAUCACACAGAACACCGAUUGCGAAGGCAUCUCACGAAUCCGCGAUUGACGCUGAUGCACGAAAGCGUGGGUAUCAAACAGGAGUAGAUACCCCAGUAGUC